rnacentral:lncRNA from 13 species
UGUCCCUGCCCCCCUCACUUUUUCCUGCUUUGCCAAUAUCUGAUUCCAAGAAAACGGCUCAAAUAGAAUGCAUAAUAACGUCAUAAUUUUCAUUCCAAAGUCUGAGAAGCCACCGUGAUCACCUCAGUUUGUGUGUCCCUUACUCCUAAGAAAAUUGAGGGGAGAACUGCUGAUGGAUUUGCUGGGGAUACCAUGCUCUGCAGUUGCUAUUGCAGGAGAGGGAAGGAUCCACGAGAGUGCAAGGUUGAGACUAGUUUGAAAGUUGGUUUCUGGCAGGAGGAGAGAAAAGGCUGCAACACUAAAGGAAGAUUCAAAGUGUUAAAAGGACGCUCAAAGUGUAGUAUUGUGGCAGGUCGGGAGAGUGCAGAAGCUGAGCAUUUGGAAGAAGUCACACCAAACUUCUGCAAGCAAAUUUGUCUCCAGUCUUCAGGGACACCAACUCCCACUUUCAACAUUUCCAUCAGCAGGCCUCUGAAGUUUAUGGACAUUACUAAAAUGUUCAGGGAUCAUCAGCACAUCAGCUCCUUGAGAAAAUAUUGGGAUAGACUUUACACCACACAAUCCAGUUGUUGAGAAUUUAAAGGUUUUCAAGAAGAAGAAAACAUCAAUAUCCCGAAGGAAUGGAGAUGUUUCUAUGGAAAACCUAGGAAUUUUAGUCCAUAACAGAUCUGGCAUAAAAAAAAAUCAAAGAGAUCAAAGGCAGAGCUCCCUGGAGUAGAGAUGCGUCUCUGAAUUAAAGAUGGACGAUGCAGACUACAAAGUGCUUUUUUCUUCUUUAUUCAGUCCUCUGUUUCCAUUUCAAGGGAGGCGCUGGUCUCGUCAUAUCUAAACUAGACAGUCAUUGCAAGCAAUGUCAUAAAGGAGAUAAAAGAGGGAGUGCGGGGCACCAAGAGCUCAGUGUUCUCUGUCCUAGUUGGUUUUCCACCCAUCUCCAGUAUUCUCAGCACAGGUGUAAGCCCAGCCCUACUCAUAGAAGGAGCUUGUGGAAAAACCCACCCCUACCUUCAAGUCUGUAGGGGCACUUAGGAAAAAUACGAUUCCCUGAAAUCAGGGGAUGAGAAGAGGUGUUAGGUGGUUUUCUUGCCUCACCAAAUUAAGCUUGGCACAAUAUCAAAGGCUCUGUGUGACAGCUCUGGGAUGGGGAGGAGAUAGCAGGAUCUUUAGGCCCAGAUGUGGACUAGAGUCGGAUAUAGAGUACCCUGGGUCAGGGGAAUUUGGGGCAGCCCCAAUAGCUGUCUUUGCAGACAUGGGUUCCUGGCAGUUCUUCCAAGACAGAGGCCCCAAAGAAAGAGACAUCCCUUUGGAGGGGGCGGUGGUCUAGUAAAGUAAGACAUCUCCUUGCCAGACAGCCUUUCAAUCUGCAUAUCUAAGAAACAGAUCUCUAAAUGUUUUCUAGAUGCUGACAAGAAAGACUAGGUGACUUCCAGUGUGAAGGCAAAGCUUAUUUUAAAUAGUUGAACGUUUCAUCGACCUUUGAUUAGCACUGUGAUUACCUAGUGAUUUCAAUUCUUUUUAAACCUGAAGUCGAGUAGAGUUAGGGAUCAUGAUGCCCAGGCAUGUCAGUAGAAGUGCACGGAAAGGAAAAGACCAGCAGCAGCCCCAGAUGACGGUCUUCUCCACUUCCAAAGAUCAUUCUCUGGCCUGGCUCACAACGUGUUCGUGUUUGUUCGCGUGCGCGUCCGCGGGGCGGCUUGUGGGCCUGCUGUCCGGCCUCUUUCUGACCCUACUUGUAGCUGGCAAAUUAAAACAAUAAAUUUUCUAAAGUUGAAGCCCA